rnacentral:rRNA from 1 species
AACGAACGCUGGCGGCAGGCCUAACACAUGCAAGUCGAGCGAAGCCUUCGGGCUUAGCGGCGGACGGGUGAGUAAUGCGUGGGAACGUGCCCUUUGGUACGGAAUAGCCCCGGGAAACUGGGAGUAAUACCGUAUGUGGUCGAGAGACGAAAGAUUUAUCGCCAAAGGAUCGGCCCGCGUUGGAUUAGGUAGUUGGUGGGGUAAUGGCCUACCAAGCCGACGAUCCAUAGCUGGUUUGAGAGGAUGAUCAGCCACACUGGGACUGAGACACGGCCCAGACUCCUACGGGAGGCAGCAGUGGGGAAUCUUAGACAAUGGGGGAAACCCUGAUCUAGCCAUGCCGCGUGAUCGAUGAAGGCCUUAGGGUUGUAAAGAUCUUUCAGUGGGGAAGAUAAUGACUGUACCCACAGAAGAAGCCCCGGCUAACUCCGUGCCAGCCGCGCAGUAAGAC